CCGCCCAAGGGCUGCACGGCGGUGCCCGGCGCGGCCCUCGGCGGGGGGGUGCAGCGCCGUGUGAAUCGAACCUCUUCCCGGGAAUUGGUUACCGGGCCUUUUCAUGUAUUUUGUAGAUUCCAAAGACAUCUUGCGGACUUCCGUGUAUAAAAGUAGUACCUGAAGUGGCAGAUACAUAAAUCGGGGAAACAACAGAACCUCUCUUCUCAUGGGUGCCACACAGACUGAUCAUCACAGAGGUGCGAGUCCAAGUGUAGUGAAGGCAUUUCUUACUCUUCAGAUGGCUGAAAGAGUGACUCCAAUGAAAGAUGCAAAGCUCAAAACCCUACACUGCGCUUCAGUAACUCCAGGGUUUCUUGCUAAUCUGAAGCUGUGAUCCUCGAGGACUGAAAUGCUGAAGAUCAAAGUGGGUGAUUACAGUGCACCUUCUGGCUUUCAGAUAUGUUACUUGCUUGUAUUACAACACCAUCAAGACAAAACCCACUGUGCCAGGCCCAGUAAAAAACACAUGAUAAGAGCCAGUCUUUGCCCCUGGAGAACUCAUCACGUAAAUAAAUAUAUUCAUUUUGUAUUGUAGAAGUCAGCAGAGAAUUCCCCUGAGGCUAAGCACAAAAUAGUCUAAAAUGCAAUUAUUGAGAAUUGUUAAAUAAAACAGCACUGGAUGAAUGUGAAGUGUCACUGUGAUUCAGGGAUUUCCUGAUUUCCUGGAUUUGCAUUUGUGCCCAUUGCCUUUUGUCCUCUCAUUGGGCACCACUGAGAAGAAUUUGACUCCAUAUUCUUUGCUCUCCACCACCAGAUAUCUACAAAUGUUGAAGGUAGUGCUGCCCAUCUGCAACCCUUUGCAAAACACUGAAUAUACCUUUUCAUCUGCAUUUCCAGUAUAGUUCAUCACAUUGUGGGAGAGAUUACACUAAAUAUAUUAUGAAGACCAAACCAUUAACCAAACGUCACUCAGAUGUGUCAGUGAACAAAGGGUAGAAUCCAGAGAUGAUGUGUUUAAUAGACUUUGAGCUUUCAAGUCAAUAGUUACGCUGAUUCUUCCAUCCAUCAAUAUGAACAAAUGCUGUAUUUCCAAACAAAGCUUAGAUCUGACAGCUCAAUAUUUGUAUGUGAUCAGAAUUGUAAUUAUUUCAAUUUGAAUGUUAAUUAAUUUAUUUGUUAACUGCCUCUUGGGUUUGUGCUCCAUCUGGCCUGGUUUCAUGUCUCUUGAUAGUAUUUAUUUGCGGUCUGAUGAUGAACACAAGGUGUGUUUAUAUACUUUGACAUAAUACCACUUAAUGGCAGAAGAUGUUAUUCUUCAGAAUUCCUGAGGCAGACUGCCAGGUAUUUAAUUGUCAAUCUAUUAAUUCCAUCAUCUGAAUCUGCAUGUCUGUUAUCCUUUGCAUAUACAACAAAAAUCUGAGUUAAGAAAGUUUCCUAUGUAUACUAGCACACAUAAUUUUUUAAAAACAUCACGGGUCAGACUCAAAUUAUUACAUUAUACUGUUUCCACAGCCAUUUAAAGAAAGCAAGGCGUAAGUGUAUUAGUUUAAAUAGGUAAAGUUCAGUGCAAAGGUAAUGGACUUCUGAGAGGAACAACCUAAACUACUCACACAUGACUGACUUCUAAAUUAAUGACAAGCACGCAGGAGAAGUUCUGGAUUCCUUGUGGACAGCUUAAUAGAAACAUCUGCUCAGGCACAGCACUGGCAAAAUAACUAAACAAACGAUCAUUCAAGCCAGCUCUCCACCUUUCUGAAGUUGCGGAAUUGAGGUGGGAUUCAGCUCAUUAACCUCAGCAAUUUAAAAGUUAGAAAUCUAGUGUAAAGUAGUUACUGAAGCUCUUUCUGUGGUCAAUGAAGGGAGACUAACCUCUGCAGGACAAUCCAGCUAGCUAAAGUAUGUCUGAAGUAAGUGGAAUUAAGUGCCCUUUUGAGGUGUCAUUUUUUCCACCAGCUGUAGAAAGGCAAAGCAGUAGCUUUACAUUAGAGGCCUACCUUUUAAAUAGAUAAAGCUGUGGAGGAUGUUACCAUCUCCGUGCCUUGCUCUCAGACCUUAACAUUGCAUUUAUUUUGCUGAAAAAUUAUGGGGCUUGGAUGAUAAGGUUCUCGUCAGGUACAAACGGGUCAGAGCAUGGUCUCCACACGGCUGUUACAGACUCUGCACUUAGAAGACUUUCCAUGCUGGGAAUUGUAGCCGUCUUCAGAAACUGUAUGAGUCAAUACUUUGUUGUUGUUAACCCCAUCAGCUUGCACUCUCCUGGCUGAGAGGCUCAUGGCAGCUGUAUGCCAGCACCACUUUCCUCUGACAGUUGGCAUUCCUGUUUCCUCCACAUUUUCAUAGUUUAAUCAGUGGAAAACCUGGGGUCUGACUUGUAUUUAAGCUGUUGAGUUUAUUAUUUAGGAUAGUCAUGUUCCUAACUCGUCAUCUGAUUUGAUGGAUUAACCUAGUAGUAAUUCACAGGUACAGUAUACAAUUUAAUAAACAGGGGAGAAGAUUGCUGUUAGUGUAAGGCUAUUUUAACAGGGAAACUUCCUGUCACAAAAUUUACUAUAAAAUUAAUAAUUAUAUCUACUAAUAAUACUUUUUUCCCUUUUUAAAAUUGGGGGUCAUGUUUCCUCUGACUAGAAAAGAGAAAACACAACCCCCAUUUUUAAAAAGGGAAAAAAGGAAGA